UAUGGUAGAGGUUGCGCUGAUCAUAAGUAGCAGAUUGGAUGCCGCAGAGGCAGGAGAAGAUCUGUGGAAGGGAGAAGCGCCGAAAGGCAGUCACACUGCAAUGACUGUUCUUGGGAACGGAAGGAAUACUUCCGUAACUGUCAUCUUACAAGAGAUGGGGCGCUAUCCGA
rnacentral:ncRNA from 1 species